GAUGAACGCUAGCGGCAGGCUUAACACAUGCAAGUCGAGGGGUAUAGUAGCAAUACUAGAGACCGGCGCACGGGUGCGUAACGCGUGGGAAUCUGCCCUUCGGUUCGGAACAACAGUUAGAAAUGACUGCUAAUACCGGAUAAUGACGUAAGUCCAAAGAUUUAUCGCCGAAGGAUGAGCCCGCGUAAGAUUAGGUAGUUGGUGGGGUAAUGGCCUACCAAGCCGACGAUCUUUAGCUGGUCUGAGAGGAUGAUCAGCCACACUGGGACUGAGACACGGCCCAGACUCCUACGGGAGGCAGCAGUGGGGAAUAUUGGACAAUGGGCGAAAGCCUGAUCCAGCAAUGCCGCGUGAGUGAUGAAGGCCUUAGGGUUGUAAAGCUCUUUUACCUAGGGAUGAUAAUGACAGUACCUGGAGAAUAAGCUCCGGCUAACUCCGUGCCAGCAGCCGCGGUAAUGUACAGUGU
rnacentral:rRNA from 1 species